CGAUGCAGUGAUCGAGCUCGUACUCGCGAUGCAUCUAGAUAGCUAGAGAGUGGAUAUCUGCCCUAUGGUGGAGGAUACCCCGGGAACUGGGGAUAACACUCCAUAAGUCAGGAGUACUGGAAUGUCUCCUAACUGAAGUUGCGGCGCCAUAGGAUGAAUCUGCGGCCGAUUAGGUAGUUGUUGGGGUAACGGCCCAACAAGCCUGUAAUCGGUACGGGUUGUGGGAGCAAGAGCCCGGAGAUGGAAUCUGAGACACGAUUCCAGGCCCUACGGGGCGCAGCAGGCGCGAAAACUUUACAAUGCAGGAAACUGUGAUAAGGGAACCCCGAGUGCCCGUAAACGCGGGCUGUCCCGGUGUUUAAAACACAUCGGAUGAAAGGGCCGGGCAAGACCGGUGCCAGCCGCCGCGGUAAUACCGGCGGCUCGAGUGGUGACCACUUUUAUUGGGCUUAAAGCGUUCGUAGCUUGAUUUUUAAGUCUCUUGGGAAAUCUCACGCCCCACCCGCCCCGCGUCUAAGAGAUACUGGGAUUCUAGGGACCGGGAGAGGUAAGAGGUACUUCAGGGUAGAAGUGAAAUUCUGUAAUCCUCGAGGGACCACCGAUGGCGAAGCAUCUUACCAGAACGGCUUCGACAGUGAGAACGAUAGCUGGGAAAGCGAACGGGAUUAGAUACCCCGGUAGUCCAGCGUAAACUAUGGCGCGUUAGGGGUGCCUGUUACUACGAGUUACGGGGUGCCGAAGUGAAUACGUUGAAACGUGCCCGCCU
rnacentral:rRNA from 1 species